UAGCUAUGUGUGGACGGGAUAAGUGCUGAAAGCAUCUAAGCAUGAAGCCCCCCUCAAGAUGAGAUUUCCCAACUUCGGUUAUAAGAUCCCUCAAAGAUGAUGAGGUUAAUAGGUUCGAGGUGGAAGCAUGGUGACAUGUGGAGCUGACGAAUACUAAUCGAUCGAAGACUUAAUCAAAAUAAAUGUUUUGCGAAGCAAAAUCACUUUUACUUACUAUCUAGUUUUGAAUGUAUAAAUUACAUUCAUAUGUCUGGUGACUAUAGCAAGGAGGUCACACCUGUUCCCAUGCCGAACACAGAAGUUAAGCUCCUUAGCGUCGAUGGUAGUCGAACUUACGUUCCGCUAGAGUAGAACGUUGCCAGGCAGUUUUUUAAUCAAAUUUUGGUUAAAAAAUAAAAUGGACAAGAUAAAAAAAGUUAUUGACUUAAAUGUUGAUAAAAUGUAUAAUUAAUUCUUGUCGGUAAGAAAAAUGAACAUUGAAAACUGAAUGACAAUAUGUCAACGUUAAUUCCAAAAAACGUAACUAUAAGUUACAAACAUUAUUUAGUAUUUAUGAGCUAAUCAAACAUCAUAAUUUUUAUGGAGAGUUUGAUCCUGGCUCAGGAUGAACGCUGGCGGCGUGCCUAAUACAUGCAAGUCGAGCGAACGGACGAGAAGCUUGCUUUUCUGAUGUUAGCGGCGGACGGGUGAGUAACACGUGGAUAACCUACCUAUAAGACUGGGAUAACUUCGGGAAACCGGAGCUAAUACCGGAUAAUAUUUUGAACCGCAUGGUUCAAAAGUGAAAGACGGUCUUGCUGUCACUUAUAGAUGGAUCCGCGCUGCAUUAGCUAGUUGGUAAGGUAACGGCUUACCAAGGCAACGAUGCAUAGCCGACCUGAGAGGGUGAUCGGCCACACUGGAACUGAGACACGGUCCAGACUCCUACGGGAGGCAGCAGUAGGGAAUCUUCCGCAAUGGGCGAAAGCCUGACGGAGCAACGCCGCGUGAGUGAUGAAGGUCUUCGGAUCGUAAAACUCUGUUAUUAGGGAAGAACAUAUGUGUAAGUAACUGUGCACAUCUUGACGGUACCUAAUCAGAAAGCCACGGCUAACUACGUGCCAGCAGCCGCGGUAAUACGUAGGUGGCAAGCGUUAUCCGGAAUUAUUGGGCGUAAAGCGCGCGUAGGCGGUUUUUUAAGUCUGAUGUGAAAGCCCACGGCUCAACCGUGGAGGGUCAUUGGAAACUGGAAAACUUGAGUGCAGAAGAGGAAAGUGGAAUUCCAUGUGUAGCGGUGAAAUGCGCAGAGAUAUGGAGGAACACCAGUGGCGAAGGCGACUUUCUGGUCUGUAACUGACGCUGAUGUGCGAAAGCGUGGGGAUCAAACAGGAUUAGAUACCCUGGUAGUCCACGCCGUAAACGAUGAGUGCUAAGUGUUAGGGGGUUUCCGCCCCUUAGUGCUGCAGCUAACGCAUUAAGCACUCCGCCUGGGGAGUACGACCGCAAGGUUGAAACUCAAAGGAAUUGACGGGGACCCGCACAAGCGGUGGAGCAUGUGGUUUAAUUCGAAGCAACGCGAAGAACC
rnacentral:rRNA from 1 species